rnacentral:lncRNA from 1 species
AAAAUGUGAAGAUCAAGAACAGCAGUAGCAAGAAACAAAUAAGAUGGCGGUGGUGUGCUCACAAAACGGCGGAGGGAAACCGAAACGCGACAACAUAAGAGUUAUAGAGGCAUAAGAAUGAGAUAACACAUUGCUAAAGCAUCAGCAUAUUAUUGAUUCUCCAUCAUCUCUAACAAGCUCCAACGACGGCCAGAGAUGGCCUACAAUGAUGACGGCUAGG